rnacentral:rRNA from 1 species
UACGUAGGUGGCAAGCGUUGUCCGGAAUUAUUGGGCGUAAAGCGCGCGCAGGCGGUCCUUUAAGUCUGAUGUGAAAGCCCACGGCUCAACCGUGGAGGGUCAUUGGAAACUGGGGGACUUGAGUGCAGAAGAGGAAAGCGGAAUUCCACGUGUAGCGGUGAAAUGCGUAGAGAUGUGGAGGAACACCAGUGGCGAAGGCGGCUUCCUGGACCAGAACUGACGAUCAGGCUCGAAAGCGUGGGGAGCAAACAGG